CUUGGUGUUUCUUCCAGAGAGGUCACACCCGUUCCCAUCUCGAACACGGCAGUUAAGCUCUCUAGGGCCGAUGGUAGUGCGAUCGCGCGAGAGUAGGUAGACGCCAGGA
rnacentral:rRNA from 1 species